rnacentral:rRNA from 1 species
CCUACGGGAGGCAGCAGAGGGGAAUUUUGCGCAAUGGGGGAAACCCUGACGCAGCAACGCCGCGUGGAGGAUGAAGUAUCUCGGUACGUAAACUCCUUUCGAUGGGGAAGAUAAUGACGGUACCCAUAGAAGAAGCCCCGGCUAACUUCGUGCCAGCAGCCGCGGUAAUACGAGGGGGGCAAGCGUUGUUCGGAUUUAUUGGGCGUAAAGGGUGCGUAGGCGGUUUGGCAAGUCUUGUGUGAAAUCUAUGGGCUCAACCCAUAGCCUGCACGAGAAACUACCGGGCUUGAGUGAUGGAGAGGUGAGUGGAAUUUCCGGUGGAGCGGUGAAAUGCGUAGAUAUCGGAAGGAACACCUGUGGCGAAAGCGGCUCACUGGACAUUAACUGACGCUGAUGCACGAAAGCUAGGGGAGCAAAUGGGAUUAGAUACCCCAGUAGUCCUAGCCGUAAACGAUGGAUACUAAGUGCUGUGCGUAUCGACCCGCGCAGUGCUGUAGCUGACGCGUUAAGUAUCCCGCCUGGGGAGUACGUUCGCAAGAAUGAAACUCAAAUGAAUUGACGGA